rnacentral:lncRNA from 10 species
UCACUUUUGCCAUGAAGCCCAGAGCAUAAAGCUCCUGGGUCUCUGCACAUGCCCGAGUGGCUACUCUGCCAAGAUUCCAUACAGCUCUGUUUGUCAGACUGAAGGCGCUGGUGUAGUGUAUUCAUGAGGGGAUCUCCUGACCAGAGGAUUGCAAAGAUCCACGGGAGAAGCAUGGCUUCCUGGAGUCACACAUUCACUCACUGCUUUCCUUGGUAGAGGAGGUUCCGUUAGCUCUGUGUUUCUCCUGGGUAAUUAUCCAGUUGAUAUUUAUCUUGUUCCAGUCACCUUUAGAAAGCUGUUUGUAAUUAAUCAAACUCAAUAACAGCACAAAAGUAACAACUCAGGUGAAAAGAAAACUCACUUAUGUCUUCAAUGUCCAAUCAACAUUGCCAAAUGGGAGAACAGUUUUGGAAAUCACUAGUGGGUAAAAAAGACCAAUUUGCAACUAGGCUCUCAUGCUCUGUUGAAAACUAUGUCACAAUAUCACAAUACUAGAUGCUGGGCUCAAGACAGCAAACAGAAAGCAGCAAGGGCAGUGACUGGAAGCUGGGAGAGAGGGUCAACAGCUGAAUCUCAGCCUGAUGGAGGCCAC